AGUAGGAAUGAAUGAAGAAAGAGGAGCUUCAUCAAAAACAGGUCCGAGCUCGCCACUCCAAAAACCACUAUCCAAGGGAGGUUGAGUUGGUUCCCUCGUGUCUUUUGGCAUGGUCUCCUCAUCAGAAAGGAUUAAAAAGGCUCGGUGGUUGAAAGUUGAGUAGGAAUAUCUUCAAUUUCAUCAUCAUGGAUGACUCUUCUCCUAAUCCUUGGCCUGGUUAUUAAUGGGGUAUCUUCCUCUUCUUCAUUCUCCGUACCUUCUGCUAAAGCUUUUCUUUUCUGAAGUAAGGCUCGUGCCUUGUCCAAGUCCAAUGCAGCAUUACC
rnacentral:lncRNA from 1 species